rnacentral:lncRNA from 10 species
GUAAAUUAAAAAAAAAACCCAAUAAUGAUCACACAUAGAACAGACCUGAGCCCUCCCACAGACAAGGCUAGCCAAACCCAACAUAGAUCAGACAGGCUUCAAUUAAUCCAAACUGUGAACAUGAAAUAAAUGCUUACUGUUUUUUACACCUAAGUUCUGGGAUGGUUUGUUACACAGCACUGUUGUGGCUUUUGCUAUCUAAUACAGUUCCAAUUCAACACCUAUAUCAAAUCUUGUCUAAUUUCACUAUUGAAUGUGGAAAAGACCAGAUACUUGUUUACCUAGCCUACCCAACAGUUAAUGAUGACCACAAGACUCAGUACUUGGAAAUAAGCCCUGAGGAGAAUUCUCCUGUGGGGGGUUUCUGGUAAACAUUUUCCUUCCUAAAGAGUGGUAUGUAAAGAGCCUCUCUCACUGUCCUGGCUUCAUAUACCCCUGUCUUCCUGAAUUUUGUGUGACAGUGUGAUGCUGGGAGACAUUUGCUGCCAAGAGGCAAAUAAGUACCUGGAUGAAAAGUCAAC